rnacentral:rRNA from 1 species
UACGUAGGGUGCAAGCGUUGUCCGGAAUUAUUGGGCGUAAAGAGCUCGUAGGCGGUUUGUUGCGUCGGCUGUGAAAUCCCGAGGCUCAACCUCGGGUCUGCAGUCGAUACGAGCAAACUAGAGUGUUGCAGGGGAGACUGGAAUUCCUGGUGUAGCGGUGAAAUGCGCAGAUAUCAGGAGGAACACCGGUGGCGAAGGCGGCAUCCUGGACCAACACUGACGGCUGAGUGAACGGAAAGCCAGGGGAGCAAACGGG